rnacentral:lncRNA from 1 species
GAGCAGCCAGUGCCUGUCCCCUGUCCCACCCCAUUCCUGAUCCCAUCCCAGCGCCCCAAUUCCCAAUCCCAAUUCCCAAACCCAAACCCCAGUUCCCAGUCCCAUUUCCCAAUUCCCAAUCCCAAACCCAAACCCCAGUUCCCAGUCCCCAUUUCCCAAUCCCAAUUCCCAGUCCUCAAUUCCCAAUUCCCAAUCCCAAACCCCAGUUCCCAGUCCUCAAUUCCCAUUCCCAGUUCCCAUUCCCAUCUCCCAAUCCCCAGUACCUGUCCCAGCUCCUCUCCCUCUCUCUCUCCAUCCACACCUCCAGGUUCUUGGGGCGCCGCCGGCAAUUGGGGACCCCCCUACAGGGACGGGGGGGUCAGACCCCCACAGACCCCUCCUGGAGCCCCCAGACCCCCCCAGACCCCUCCCAGAGCCCCCAGACCCCUCCGAGAGCCCCCAGACCCCUCACCUGCUGCCCUCGGGGGUGUCACCCCUCUGCUGCUCCUGGGGAGGGACAAAGGGGGGCUCAGGAUUUGGGUGGGAAACCCCAAAAUUUUGGGAUCAGAGAUUUGGGGGGUGACAUCACCUCGGGCGAGGGCUCCUCCUCCAGCUGCUCCGGGUCACUGUCACCAGCUGUGGGGACAGAGGGGUGGCAGGGGGUACCCAGGGGGUGGUAGGGGGUACCCAGGGGGUGGCAGGGGGUCCCGGGGGGGAUUUUGGGGACCCCCUCCCCUCACCUGCCCCGCCGUGCAUCUCCCUGUGCUGCCGGGACGGCUCCGAGGACUCAUCCGAGCACUGCAACGGUGCCAGAGGGGGUGCAGGGUUGGGGGACACCCCAAAUCCCCCCCGAAAUUCCCCCAAAACGCCCCCAAAUCCCACCUCGUUCCCCGACCAGCGCUUGCUGCCGCUGUCCACGCUGUGGAAGCCGGAGUCCAGCCCCCCUCGCUGCCGGAGGGGACACGGCUCGUCCGGGGGGCUGCGGGGAGGGGGCAAACAGCGCUCAGAGAGACCCCAAAAACAACGGGGCGCCCCCUCCCCGAGCCCCCCAUUUACCAUGCGGGCACAGGAUGGGCGGCAGCCUCGGCUUCCAGGUACUUGAAGAUGUGGACUUUGCCCUUCAGGCAGAUCUGGGGGGCACAGAGGGCUCAGCCGGAGCUUUUGGGGGGUCGGGGGGACAGCCCGGGACCCUCCUCACCUGGGCAGGGGGGAACUGGAGCGGGUUGUUGUCCGCCAGAAGCGUCUGGAGGUGCCGGAGCCGGCGGAAGCAGCGCGGAAUCGCCACCACCCGGUUGCAGGAGAAAUCCAAGUGGACCAGGGGCAGCUCCGAGAGCUCUGCCGGGGGGAACACGGGAUGGAGGGGACCCUGAAAAAGCGGUGGGACCCCCCCGCCAGGAUCCUCACCCACCCUCGGGCAGCGCCGCCAGCUGGUUCCGCCGCACGUUGAGGUCCCGCAGCGCCCGCAGCUGCCCCAGCCCCGGCGGCAGCGCCCGCAGCCGGUUACAGCCCACGUCCUGCGGGGCGAGACGGGGCUCAGCGGGGCCCGGCGCGGCCCCGCGGGGUCCCGCCGGCCCGGGCCAGGCUCACCAGCUGCCGCAGGGUGCGGAGGGCGCCCAGGUUCGGAGGAAGCCGGGACAGGCGGUUGUUGCUGGCGUUGAGGACGCGCAGGGGCAGCAGGCACAGGCAGGCGGGCAGCGAGCUCAGCUGGUUGCGGCUGCGGAGGGGACACGGCGGGGUCAGGGCGCUGCUGCCGGAGCUCCCCGGUCACACCGGCGGGGCUGGAGCGUACCUGAGGUCCAGGUGAGCCAGGGCCUGCAGGUUGGCGAUGGCCGGGGGGACGCUGCGCAGGCAGUUGUGGUGCAGGCUCAGCCCUUCCAGAGAGACCAGGCGGCAGGCGGCCUCCGGCACCUCCCCGAAACGGUUCCGGGACAGGUCUGGAGGGAGCCGGGGCAGCGUGUGGGACAGCGGAGGGGGCACGCAGGGACCGGGCAUUCCCGGGGAUAG